UGUGAAUGUUCAUCUUUUUUACUGCAAUAUAUGUUUGUUGUCAUGGCCAUCUGUUCAAUUUUUUUUCAUUUCCCUUUUCUGACUAAAGUGGGAGAGAUUAACAAAAUAUGGUUUUGGGUUUUGAUUCUUCUGGAGAUUGAUAAUCCUUAUAGAAGGACUAUGGCUGAAUCUCUUCACAUAGAUGUUAAGCAAGAUGAUGAUGAUGAUAAUGGAAGUGAGAAGGCAGAUCGCUUCGAUCAGAAGGUUAAUAGCCUGGAAAGGAUCUUCCUCAUCGCCAACUUCAUCUUAGAGCUUCCAUCAGCUGCUUUUGAUCAGUUGUCCUCAGUGCAUAAGCCCCAAUAUGCACUACUUAGCAUGUUAAUUUCUUUCACAGUCUUGAUCAUUUCCAUUAUUGAUCUCAUUCAUAAGGGUCGAAAAGAAAGAGUUACUUGGAUGAUUAGAGGGCUGAUACCUUGGUUUUAUUAUCCAUACCCAAAUCCCAAGCCUUUUGGGACAUUUCCUGACAUUAUUGGAUUAGUUUGUGCUGUUUUUCAAUUCGUUUUUGCAGCAACAUCAUAUGGCUUUUUGUCUCAGCACUCUGAUAAUCCUAUCAAAGUAUCGGUUUGGCCUGUAUUCUUUGCCUUUGGUCUAUUGUCUUCUAGACUUUCAGGGAAUACUGCACAAAGGCCAACCCCACAUGUAAGGAGACUGUAUAGGGUAGAGGAAUUUUCUCUGGCUCAACUUGCUGCUGCGACCAAUGAUUUCUCACAACAGAACAAGAUUGGCAUAGGACGUUCCUUUGUUGUUUAUAAAGGGAAACUACCAGAUGGUAGGGAAGUGGCUGUCAAGAGAGGAGACAUAGGUCAUCAAAGGAUGAAGUUUCAGGAGGAAGACAGUUCUUUUGAAACUGAAUUAACAUUCUUGUCAAGGCUUCACCAUAAACAUUUGGUUAGGCUUGUUGGAUAUUGUGAAGAAGCUAAUGAGAGGAUUUUAGUUUAUGAGUACCUAAAGAAUGGAACUCUACACGACCUUUUACACAAGAAUAAUGUUGACAAAAAAAGUAGUGUGAUCAAUUCUUGGAAAAUGAGGAUCAAGAUUGCAUUAGAUGCUGCUAGAGGAAUUGAGUAUCUUCACAAUUAUGCAGUCCCACCGAUAAUUCACAGUGAUAUCAAGUCUUUUAAUAUCCUGCUUGACGCAAAUUGGGCAGCAAGAGUUUGUGAUUUUGGAAUGUCUAUGUUUGGUGCUGAAUCGGAAAGCAAUUACAAACCAAAGAAGGCAAUGGGAACAGAUGGAUACAUAGAUCCUGAGUUCCAUAGUCGAAAUGUAUUAACUGAAAAAAGUGAUGUGUAUGGUCUUGGUGUAGUACUACUAGAACUUUUGACAGGCAAGAGAGCUGUGUUCAAGGAUGAAGACAAUGGAGGUGCAAUAACAAGUAUAGUGGACUUUGCGGUACCUAAAAUUUUGGCGAAUGAAUUGGUCAAGGUUUUGGACCACAGGAUUGGUCCACCA
rnacentral:misc_RNA from 1 species